rnacentral:lncRNA from 1 species
GUUCUCAACACGAUAUUUCUGAGCCACGCUAGGAGAGGGUAGGUGAAAGAUCAUCAUUUCCAGGAGAGCACUGCUUGCAGGAAGCCAGGUCUGCAUAACACGCUUCAUGAGGGCCUUACCCAUCAAGUCCUUCUCUUCAGACUUCAUGGUGACACCAAGCUUUUGUAGCAUGGGCCAUAGCUUAUCUUUCUGGUCAUUCAUACAAGUGUUGAUGAUCUGCUUGAUGGGCUCAUAACAGAAUUGAACAAAACCACGCUUGCAGGUGGCAGUGCCAGUGUUCUUGGUGGUCCAUUUCCUGGUAGCUGGAUCAAAAAAGUUCUCACCCCAAAGCCUUUCCAUCAUUUUGGACUCAUCGACUCCAAACUUUGAGGCAUACAUUUUAGCAAAGUUGGUCAAGGUAAAAGCCCAACCAUGCAAACCAGCAGAGAAGGCAACUGUUCCCUUCUCAGGGUAGACUUGAACAUCACCAAGAAGAGGAUCUUCAUAGGUGGCCAUGAUGACAUUAGCAUUUUCGAUCACUCUCUGGAAUGUCUGGUAAGCCUCCUCUCCAUCAACCUGAAGCUCAAGGAAGCACCUAUCCAUCUUGUUAACAGUCAAGACAGGCCUGAUCCUUUCUCCAAGAGCCUGACGGAGGAC